rnacentral:ncRNA from 2 species
AUCAUCAAGGGGAAUGAAGUUCUCCCUUGGUUUAUACCUAAACCGCAUUUAACGCUAAUGACUUCUGUUUUCUU